rnacentral:rRNA from 1 species
AUACGGAGGGUGCGAGCGUUAAUCGGAAUUACUGGGCGUAAAGCGUGCGUAGGCGGGUUGCUAAGUCAGAUGUGAAAGCCCCGGGCUUAACCUGGGAACUGCAUUUGAUACUGGCAGACUAGAGUAUGAUAGAGGGGGGUAGAAUUCCUGGUGUAGCGGUGAAAUGCGUAGAUAUCAGGAGGAAUACCAGUGGCGAAGGCGGCCCCCUGGAUCAAUACUGACGCUGAGGUACGAAAGCGUGGGGAGCGAACAGGAUUAGAAACCCUAGUAGUCC